rnacentral:miRNA from 1 species
UGUCAGAAUGAUCGAUCAUUGA